AGCUGGGACUAUAGGCAUGUGUCACCAUGCUUAAUUUUUUUUCUUUUCUUUUUUGUAGAGAUUGGGUCUUGCUACAUUGCCCAGGCUCACCUUGACCCCCUGGCCUCAAGUGAUCCUCCCACCCUGGCCUUCUAAAGUGCUGAGAUUAUAGAUGUGAGCCACUGGGCCCAGCCUUUAUUGGUUGAAUCUAAAGAAAGUCAUGCCUCACAGGAUUUUGUCAUGAAGAUACAUCCCACUGAGUGGAUGAUAUCAUUGUGAUAGACCAUAGACAUGAGAGGUGUCUGCUUGUUCUUGGGGAGGAUUCAGCUGGAGACCCUGUAUUCUACUGGCCCAGAGAAUAGCAGCUGGACUCUGAUGAGAGGCUGUUGAAUGGAAGCUGUGUCUAGGAACCUCUGGGACUCCCAGCCCCCAGGCUCUCAAGGGCCUGAUUCUGCUUUUCAUGGAUAGUGCUUUGCAGGGUCUGGGAUGUCACCCGGGGGCAGAUGCAGAAGUGGGUUUGGAACAUCUCUGGCCUAUCUGCCUCUUCCACAGACUCCCGUCUUCCCACCCUCCCCCACCUCCCUGCCCCCAUUAGCACUUGCCCUGUCUCAUCAUCUCUUCACCUCUCUUCCUGGUACCUUCCCUUAGCUUUUCUACAUGGACAAAACAAAGCACUGGAUCCUUGGAGGAGUUCUACACCAUGGUCUGGAGAUCUUGUCCAAUCCUGCCCCACCGCUGACCAGCUGUGUGACUUGGGGGUCACUUACCGUGAGAGAGUCACCCAGGGCUCCAAUUACGUUGAUGUCAGCCGGCUUCAGCCUAUGAACUAAGAAUAUAAGCAGGAGUGAGUGGAAAAUGGGGCUUCCAGGAAAGCACUGGACCCAUCUACUCUGAAACAAAGGAACAACUUCCAGGAUAACAAAGAAAAAGUCAGUUUUUACCACCAAGACACCUUGGAUAAAAGAUAGGAAAAACCCAUCCUUGUCAAUGGGCUCUGCAAUGCCAGCUGUGGAGUCUGAGUGCUGGCUUCCUCUCUGGGGCACCUGGACACAGGAACAGGAAGCUGAAAGGUGGAUCCUGCUUUAAGUGGGGAGCUGUGCUCGCAUUUGGUGGGACCAGAUGCUACAAGGCGAGUGGUGGCAGGCCCUUGGCAAGGUGAUUUGGGAGGAGGGAAGAAAUUGCCAUGGAAAUGCAACCAAUACUUAAUCUAUUCUAGGAUCUGAUAUUUGGGAUAAAAUAUUACAUCAUCCUAUAAAAAUCAGUUCAGUUUCUCUAAAGUGAAAAAGGAAUACUUUUAUGCCACUGACUUUUUUUUUUUUUUUUUUUGAGACAGAGUCUUGCUCUGUCUCCAGGCUGGAGUGCAGUGGUGCAAUCUUGGCUCACUACAACCUCCGCCUCCCAGGUUCAAGCUGUUCUCCUGCCUCAGCCUCCUGAGUAGCUGGGAAUACAGGUGCACAUCACCACACCUGGCUAAUUUUUGUAUUUUUAGUAGAGACAGGGUUUCCCCAUGUUGGCCAGGAUGGUCUCGAUCUCCUGACCUUGUGAUCCACUUGGCUUGGCCUCCCAAAGUGCUGGGAUUACAGGCGAGAGCCAACGCGCCCGGCCGACUGUUUUUUAAUUGAGAUGAAAUUCAUAUAACUAAAAUUAACCAUUUAAAGGUGAACAGUUCAGUGGCAUUUAGUCUAUUCACAAUGUUGUGCAACUAUCACCUCUAUCUAGCUUUGAAACAUUUUCAUUACCCCAAAAUGAGACCCUAUAACCCAUUAAGUGGUCACUCUCCAUUUCUCCCUCCUCCCAGUCCUUAGUAACCAAAAACUUGCUUUCUGCCUCUAUGGAUUUAUCUAUUCUGGAUAUUUCAUGUACAUAGAAUCAUAUAAUAUGUGACUUUUUAUGUUUGGCUUCUUCUAUUUUGCAUAAUGUUUUCAAGGUUCAUUUGUUAUAGCAUGUAUCAAUACAUUCAUUUUAUUUUUAUCUUUUGAGACAAAGUCUCACUGUGUCACCUGGGCUGGAGUGCAGUGGCUCGUGAUAAUGGCUCACUGCAGCCUCGACCUCCCGGGCUCAAGUGAUCCUCCCACCUCAGCCUCCUGAGUAGCUAGGAUUAUAGGUGUGUACCACCAUGCCCAGCCAAUUUUUUAUUUUUUUGUAGAGAGAGCCUCCCUAUGUUGCCAGGCUGGUCUCGAACUCCUGGCCUCAAGUGAUGCUCCCACCUCAGCCUCCCAAAAUGCUGGGAUUACAGGCAUGAGCUACAGAGCCCAACCACUUCAUUCCUUUUUAUUGUUGAAUGAUAUUCCAUUGUAUGGAUAUACCAUACUUUUGUUUAUCCAUUCAUGCAUCGAUAGGCAUUUGGGUUAUUUCCACUUUUGGGCUAUUGUGACUAGUAUUGCUAUAAAUAUCUGUGUACGAGUGUUUGUUUGAAUGCCUGUUUUCAAUUAUUUUGGUAUACACCUGAGAGUGGAAUUGGUGGAUUAUAUGGUAAUCCUAUGCUUAUCUUUUUGAGGAAGCAUCAAGCUGUUUUCCACAGCUUGACUAUACAUAUUUUUAUCUUUUGAGUUUGAGCAUUCCGUGUGAUGUGGCAGCUAUUAACUCACAGGACAAACAUGUUGAACACGAAGCAGUGGCUGGGUGCUUUGGAGACCACACAGUGAUCAGAAACAGAGAAUGCCCUCAAAAAGCUCACAAGCUAAGGAGAAAAUGAGAAAUAGCCAUAGUUAUUAUAGUGUAAGACCGAUAAACACUAAAAGAGGUGUGAAGUGAUGUGAAGCUAUAGAGCUGGAGGGAUGAUCUUCCCCUGGGGGGCCUGAGGAGGGGGUCACAGCAGGCUUCAUGGAGAAGGUCGCAUUUGAAUUAAGCCUCAGGAAUAACAGGAGGAUGAGGGAGAGCGAGAUCGGGUGAUGGAGGGAAAAGCGUGAUGGAUGGAUGUGGUAGGGUCGAGCUUGGAUGUCUCGAAAGCCCAGCUAGUCACAGUUUGGCUUGCAUGAAGCAUAUAUGAGAGAGCAAAGAGAAAACCACCUUGGAAAGGUAGGUUAGGGCCACAGGGCCUAACCAAUAUCUGGUAACCAGUAAUCUGCUUUCUGCCUCUAUAGAUUUAUCUAUUCUGGAUAUUUCAUGUAAAUAGAAUAAUAUAAUACGUGACUCUUUGUGUCUGGCUUCUUCUACUUUGCAUAAUGUUUUCAAGGUUCAAUUAUGUUGUAGCAUCUAUCAAUAUAUUCGUUUUAUUUUUAUUUUUCGAGACAAGGUCUCACUCUGUCACCUAGGCUGUGGCGUGUGAUCAUGGCUCACUGCAGCCUCGGCCUCCUGGGCUCAAGCGAUCCUCCCACCUCAGCCUCCUGAGUAGCUGGGAUUAUAAGCUUUUAUGCCUGGCUAACAAGUUAGGAGUUUAACAUAGAUAUUGCUAUAUAUGUAAUUACUCACAUACACACACAGGUACUACAUCUACCUACCCCUUUACCUUAUACACAUAAGAAAGUGAAUCCUAGUGUAUUUGGGGGACCACCCCUAGAAUUUCUUAAGCCAUAUAUAGCUUGGUCUCUCAAGUCACAAGCUCACCUCCCACUCCCCCAAUUACCUCACCCCCAAGGUCACCCUGACUUGGCCAUAGCUCUACCUUUGCCGAUGUGCUUCUAUUGUGUCUAGUGGCACAACGCUGCACUAAAUUAUUGAAAUAGCUCUUGUGGUUUGGAAGAAGCCUAGUACAGAGUUUGUACCAAGGAGUGGCCCACCCUGGUACAUUUCAGUGGUUAAGUGCUUAAGAAGGAUAAACUGAAAGUUGUCUGCAGGAGGCUUUCUCAACAGCCUUCUUUGCCAAAGACAGUUUAUAAAGCCUGUAGCGUGACCAGAUUACAAUCCCAGCACUUUGGGAGGCCGACACGGGCAGAUCACCUGAGGUCAGGAGUUUCAGACCAGCCUGUCCAAAAUGAUGAAACCCCGUCUCUACUAAAAAUACAAAAAUUAGCCAGGCAUGGAGGUGUGCUCUUAUAGUCCCAGCUAUUUGGGAGGCUGAGGCAUGAGAAUUGCUUGAACCUGGGAGGAGGAGGCUGCAGUGAGCCGAGAUUGCGCCACUGCAAUCCAGCCUGGGAGAUAGAGCGAGACUCCGUCUCAAAAAAAAAAAAAAAAAAAAAAAAAAAAAGCUUUCAGGCCUGCAGUGAAACACAGGGUGAGAUGAUUUUGACACAGCUGGACUAUAUACAACCCACAGCACCCAUCAACAUCCAAAUCAUGGCUGUGGAAUUGUACCUGUGCAGGAAGCCGGAUUAACAUUGAGUGGAAAACAUACUCAAGGGACUUCCAGGUCUCCAAGGUCUCGUCUCCUUUCAUGGAGACAUCUUGUCUACCUUCUUUCAUGCUGUCUGCAAUGGGGAGAGCCACUCCCAAUGAGGAUUUGCUCUCAUUGGAAAAGUAAAAGUUCUUGCCUCUUCCUAUGAAAGGAUACAAACUCACACAUACAUAGUUGUAAAUAUAUGUGUGCAAAACAUAUAGAGCAGCGGUCCUCCAAUUGAGCCUGCAUCGGAAUCACCUGGAGAGCCUGUGAAAACACAGAUGGCUGGGCCCCACCUUCAGAAUUUUUGACUCAAUAGGUCUGGGGUGGGCCCAAGGAUUUGCAUUUCCAACAAGUUUCCAGGUAAUGCUGAUGCUGCCAGUCCAGUCUGGGUACCACAUUUUCAGAACCACUGAUAGAGACACUCGAUUAUCAAAGCCAUUGACUGCAGUCAAGUACUGCGCUUGGACCUGAAAAACCUGGAAUCAAGCCCAGGAGGCAGAGGCUGCAGUGAGCUAUGAUUGCACCACUGCACUCCAGCCUGGGCAACAAAGUGAGACUGUCUGUAAAAAAUUAAAUAAAUAUUUGGCUGCGUGUGAUGGCUCAUGCCUAUAAUCCCAGCACUUAGGGAGGCCAAGUUGGGAGGAUCACUUGAGCCCAGAAGUUCGAGACCAGCCUGGGCAAUAUAGUGAGACUCCUUCAAUAAAAAAGAAAAAAAAGACUAGAGUUGUUUCUCCUGUGUGUAUGUAUAAAUUGUCUUGUGGCCCUCACAACUGUAGCUGCCACUGCACAGCCUGAUGACAACUCUGCCUCUUAGAUUCAAGAGCUGCUGACUAUCCUUCUUCAGUGUUCUUUCUCCUCCCCACCGCCAUGCCUUGAAUCCACCCUUACACACACACACACACAUACACACACACCAUGAACACAUGCACCAUGCACAUAUGCACCAUGCACACAUGCACCCUUCCACAUGAUUACAGCCUGCUUGGCUCUUCCCAGCCAUCCACAGCUACACCAUGUGGUUAGAAGAACAAUAGCAAAUCACAAAGCCAGCUGCACACAUUAGCGCGUGUCCAUCAGGCUGUGCAGGAGAACUUUAAAAUGACCUCUUCUCAAAGAAAUCACGCAAUGGGGUUAAAAAGGCAACAAAACAAAAAAUAAGACCUUUUCCCUCCAACUCUAGAGUGGUUUAUUUUAGCUUCUGGUGAUAACAGUCAAACACUGUAUUCUUACUGCCAUAAUGCAUCAUACAGUGAAUCCUGUGAACACUAGCUCGUAUGCAAAUGUUAGGGGAAAUCCUUGGGACUGGGUAAAAUAUGGCAGAGAUAGAUAAAUUUGCUUCAAAAAUAUUAUCAUUACAGUUUGCUAAAGAGGCAGCUGAAACCUACCAUUCCUGUCUCCUAAAUUUGUAGCAGGCAGAAAACACAUAGACACACACACACACACACACACACAGAGACACACACACCCCCCUAUGUUUAUGUCUGUGUGUACAUACAUAUGUAUAGAUAGACUGAUUGGUCUAUGGCCAUACCGCCCUGAAAGUGCCUGACGUCAUCUGAUAGAUUGGUUGAUUAUGGUGGGGGUGGUUCUCCAGUUGGCCAUUCUGAAGGAAUCUCAGCAAGAGAUACAGUAAUAAACCAGAUGAAGCAAACCUGGGUGGGAGGAGUUGACUUCAUCUGUGAUCUUAUUGUUAAGAUAGAGCACAUCACAUUUCACUGGCCUAAUUUUCCGUAGACCUUGAUUUGAGGUUUGUUAAUGUCAUCAUUAAUGACACACACAGCUUAGAAAUACAGUAAAGCACUUUAGCAGUUGCUCUCCCUGGAAAAAGAACUAUUUAGUGAUAAGAUUAAAUUUGUGUGGGCUGAUUAGCUAAACAUUAUCUGGUACAAAUUGUCCACCACCUUGAGAGAAGCUGAUAAACACAUCAUUAACUCAUCACGAUUUCUACAGAGGGGACCUCUUAUCAGAAGGCCAUCCAAGCCAUGACGAAGCAUCACAAAUAGCAAGGAAAUUGCACACUAGACUGUAGAAUGGGGACACUGCCCACUGUACAUGGAAGGUUAUACCCAGGAGAAAGGCUUGGCAUGCUAGGGCUUUGUCUUGUGUAACCCAGCAACUUAAACCACCUGGGGCCCUAAUCUGAAAAACAUGCUUUCUCUCAAUUGUCACCAAGCAUUGCCCAACCUAUUUGCCGUCUGAUUUUAGGGACUUACAUUAAGACUUCCACAAUGGCAGUAAGCAGCUGCCUCAAGAUUGGAACGAUGUUUUGCCUUUGGAGUCUUCGGUGUGAGUUUCCAUGAACCAAUGCGUGCCUUCCACAGAGGAGCUCAAGAAACGUGUUAACUGGAAUUAAAGGCUAAGUGACUCUGUGACAGGGACUUUACAGAUCUCGAAGUUUUAGAUGAUGAAAACCAAAGGGCAGGGAAACACUUCUCUAAGUGUCUUGGGGGAGUUUGAACUCGCUCAGUAGCCUGGUUGUGUCCAGGGACAAGCAGGCUGUUAUUUCCCACAGGGCAUCAUUCCUUCCUGAUGAUAGGGUAGGUCAAGUCACAAGACCCCUGAGUAGGUGGUGACCACAGAGACGGCCUCAUGACCUACACUGAACAUUGCACUGCUGGCUCACGAUGAGAUGAUGCCCGUGGUGAAUGACCACCCAGUGCUGUAACCCGGCCAUUUUUCAUAUUGGCUUUUGAAGAGCUGAUUUUAGCCAAAUGGGUCAAAUCAAUGACAUCAGGGACUUAGCAAGGAAUUGAUGGCUUAAAAUAAAUGAAUGAACUGUUCUGGUUUAUACUAUUGGUGACAGCAGCAUGUAAUUAGCUUUGUGGAUCCCUAUUUGCAAAAGCUCUGAAUUUUUCCCACUGUGUGGAAUUUGCCAUCAACAUAGCCACCUUCAUCAGAAAGUCAAUAAGCCAUGUCCCCUGUGACUCCUCAUUGUCACUCUUUUAUUUUCAAAAAGUGACUCCUUUUCUCGCUGGGAAAAUCCUAAGCUCACUAGUAGGCCCAAUAUGUUUUUCUUGGUUAUGCUAACUAUGUUAGGGAGAGGGCCGUCUAGCAAUGGAGCAUGAUAUGAGUGUUUACAAAGUUAUAAAGUCCAUAGGAGAGAGCACUUGGCAAAUUGCAUCUAUGUGCUGACUAGGAGGAAAAAGUUGCAAGUUUUUAGUUUUUACUGGCUACCCAAUACCAACUGAUUAUAAAAAAUCACUUACAUUAACUCUAUGUAUCUCAUCCUAGGGCCCCGUAAGUCAGUGGAUAAAGCACAUCACUCACGAGCUCUGAAGUGUACUCAGAAUGAGGCACCCAAGUUGCCAGGGCCAUGGCCUGUUGAUGACAGGUUGCAUCUCAUUUUGAAACAUCACUUUUAAUGAUGUUUAGAUGCAUGUAUCUGUGGUCAGUUUGGAGAAGCACUAGAAAAUGAGACUAUAAAGAAGGUUUUUGAAAAUAACUUUGGACCAGUAUGGUAGCUUAUGCCUAUAAUCCCAGCACUAUGGGAGGCUGAGGUAGGAGGAUCAUUUGAGCCCAGGAGUUCAAGGCCAGCCCGGGCAACAUAGUGAGACCUUGUCUGUACAAAAAAUAAAAUUAGCUGGACAUGGUGCAUGGGCCUAUAGUCCCAGCUACUUGGGAGGCUAAAGUGGGAGGAUCUCGAGCCAGGGAGAUCAAGGCUGCAGUGAGGUGAGAUCGCACCACUACACUCCAGCCUGGGCGACAGACUGAGACCAUCUCAAAAAAGAAAAAAAAAAAAAAAAAAGGAAAGUAACUUUGAAGGCAAAAUGCAAAACAGUUAUUGUAAAAGAUAUUCCUAGUGAAAAAUUCUUUUAAUGAAAGGCAUUUUGGUCUAGUUGAUUUUUCAAUACCUUUUUCAAUCCUAGGGAUUGUUCAUCUGAUGAUUUAGAAAUGCUCAUUCAGAUUAGUUCAGCAAAUAUUUAUUGGGCUUCUACCAUGUGCUUGAGUCACUGGAGGUAUAAAGAUAAGAUGAUCUCCUCUUAUAAGACAUAUAUCAGAUUAUUUUGAUUAGAAAUUGCAAACAUGAUCUCCAGAAGAGUGUAUGACCUCACCAGAAAUAUAUGAUUAAUAUCAAAGGAAAAUAAUAAUAUGCACCUGUGCUGUCUUUUUACCUACCCCAUCAGUCACAAGGAUAGUUAGAAUGUUCAGUCAAGAUCACUGGCACAUGGCUGGGUGCAGUAGCUCAUGCCUGUAAUCCCAGCACUUUGGGAGGCCACGGCGGGUGGAUCACCUGAGGUCAGGAGUUCAAGACCAGCCUGGCCAACAUGGCGAAACCCUGUCUCUACAAAAAAUACAAAAAUUAGCUGGGCAUGGCGGCAGGCACCUAUAAUCCCAGCUACUUGGGAGGCUGAGGCAGGAGAAUCGCUUGAACCCAGGGGGUGGAGGUUGCAGUAAGCGGAAAUCACGCCACUUCACUCCAGCCUGGGUGACAGAGCAAAACUCUGUCUCAAAAAAAAAAAAAAAAAAGAUCACUGGCACAAUAAUGAAAUGUAUUUUUCAUUAUUGGCCAGUUAACUGUGACCAUUUUUCUGAAUGACACUUUCCAGGUGAGACUCAGAAGUGCAGGCCCAACACUCAUCUAUGAGUGCUGAUUCCAGGUGGAGAGCGAGUGUUUGGGUCCCAUGCUCACCUUGGUCAGAUCGAGGAGCCUAAAUCUACCCAUCUUGUUAUUAUAUAAAUGGCUCCUGUCACCAGAGGAUCUCAGAUUUUAAGGCCUUGAGAUUUCUUGAUCUUUAAUCUUCAAGUACUGAUAAACACACUAAUCUUCAGGGUCAAGGAAUAAGGAAGAGGUUUACAUUUUACCCAGCUUUUAGAUGUUGAGAUAUGCUCUAAUGAGAUUGGCUGGUUAUCACUUUCAUGACAGAAACAUCAUCUAGACAGAUUAUAAAAUGCUUUAGAGAGCAUUCUUUCAGAAUAAGAUUAAAAAGGGAAUGGAUAUUACUUUGCUGUAAAUGUGUGUGGCUAUUAAAACUUUCAGAUGUUCUCUCUAGACCAGGUGAGCUGGUUUAUGCCUGUAAUCCCAGCGCUGGAGGAUCGCCUGAGCCUGGGAGUUCAAGACCAGCCUGGGCAACAAUAAGACCCCAUCUCUUAAAAAAA
rnacentral:lncRNA from 1 species